GAUUUCUGGUAUGGUGCACUUGGCCCGUCUUGGUUACAAGUAUGUGUGCCGGUGUGCGCCUGCCAUCCAUCUAGAAAUGUCUGGUCGCCCUUCACUGGGUGGACUUGUACGGAUCUAGAUCUUUUACUUUGAAAAAAUUAGAGUGUUUAAAGCAGGCUUGUGCGUGAUGAAUACAUUAGCAUGGAAUAAUAAUUUAGGACUUUGGUCUUAUUUUGUUGGUUUCUAGGACUAAAGUAAUGAUUGAUAGGGACAGUUGGGGGUGCUAGUAUUCAGCGGCCAGAGGUGAAAUUCUUGGAUUCGCUGAAGACUAACUUAUGCGAAAGCAUU
rnacentral:rRNA from 1 species